rnacentral:lncRNA from 1 species
GUUAAAAAAAAUUAUGAGAAUAAUGUAAUUGAUUAAUGAUAAAAUUUUUUGUUAAUUUGUGUAUUUAAAAAAAAAUUGAACUUAUUACAAUUAUUUCCUAGAAGUGGGUUCCUUUUUUUUCCGUCUUUUUGUAAUAAUUCCUCAAUUCCAAGCACACCCCUUUAAAAUAUAAAGAUGUGUUAUUUUGUAAAUAAACCCAUUGAAUUAAAAAUUAGGAGUACCCUCGUAGAAAUUGAUAUUUCUUCCUUUUGCCAUCUGCACUCUUCCACAAUUCCGUGCCGUGCUUCCAAACUUGUUCGUUUAGUUUUAUUUUUUUAUUUUUUUAACUAAGCAAAAUAUUCAAUUAGUUUUAAACUUUUUCUUUGAUCAUUCCUACUUGUUAGAAUAGUAAAAUAAAACUAAUGAUAUUUAAAUAAAAUAUUGUCUCUAAAUUAUUAGUGGCAUAACCAGAAAAUCAAACUAGUGGAAAAAAAGGGAAAUUUAUAAAAAUAACCUAAAAGUUUUUGUAAUUUUUUCAAAUGACCCCCCAAACUUUUUUCUGUCAAUAUUAGCCAAAAACCCUCUCAAGUGGCGAAAAUACCCCUCACAUUUUCACCAAGCUUCCUCUCUCUCCUUCGUCUCUCUCUCUCUCUCUCUCUCUCUCUCUCUCUCUCUCUCUCUCUCUCUAUAUAUAUAUAUAUAUAUAUAUAUAUAUAUAUAUAACCAACGAUUUCUCUCCCAAGGUGAUCACACAUCGUCGGCGGCUUCCCAACUCCAUCCUCGGCAACUAACAUCACCAAAGUUUCGGCCAAGUUCUAAAACCAAAGGUUAGUUUAAAAACCCUAGAUUUUGAAGCAUUUUCUAUUCUUCUUUUAUGUUGUCUUUUUUCAUUGUGUUGGUGAUGGUGAGUGAAGAUUAAAGUGUUUGUGAUGUUGAUUGCAUUUGUAAAGUUGUUGGUGUGGUGCAUGGGUGAAGAUUGAAGUUGUCAUGGGCUCGGUGCCGACACCCAUCUCGCAAAAUCAAGUGCAACAAAGCACCUGUCACAUGAAAUUGCUGCGACUGGGUGCCUGUCACACUUAUUUGGUGCAAUAAGUUGCUUGUCGCAUCAAUUUCGUGCGACAGGUUGCCUGUCACACCAAUUUCAUGCAACAGGUGCUUGUCGCACCAACAUACAAUCGUUCUGAACUCUCUUCUCGCACGAAUUGAAGUUGACAAACACCUCUUUAACACUUGGUGAUGCAAAAACAAAGUAUAAACAAUCUAAGAAAUAUUUUAUCAAACACUUCAUAUGUAAUAUUUCUACAAACCCAAUUUUCUUUCCUAGGUUUUGUUGUUGCCGGUGAUGAUUCUAGAGGGCAAGGCUGCGUUUGGUUUGAUAAGGAGGGAGAGAAGUUGUGUUUGGCUAUGAACUAACAUGGGUAAUUUUGGGAAGAAACAUUGUAUUUGAUUAGUUAUGAUAGAAAAAAGUUUUAAUGGUUAAAUGUGAAAAAUGACAAAAUUAUUUGGUUA